rnacentral:rRNA from 1 species
GAUGAACGCUAGCUACAGGCUUAACACAUGCAAGUCGAGGGGAAACGGCAUUAAGUGCUUGCACUUUUUGGACGUCGACCGGCGCACGGGUGAGUAAUGCGUAUCCAACCUUCCUAUGACUAAGGGAUAACCUGCCGAAAGGCAGACUAAUACCUUAUGGUCUUCACUGACGGCAUCAGAUGUGAAGUAAAGAUUUAUCGGUUAUGGAUGGGGAUGCGUCUGAUUAGCUUGUUGGCGGGGUAACGGCCCACCAAGGCAACGAUCAGUAGGGGUUCUGAGAGGAAGGUCCCCCACAUUGGAACUGAGACACGGUCCAAACUCCUACGGGAGGCAGCAGUGAGGAAUAUUGGUCAAUGGGCGAGAGCCUGAACCAGCCAAGUAGCGUGCAGGAUGACGGCCCUAUGGGUUGUAAACUGCUUUUUUAUGGGGAUAAAGUCAAUCACGUGUGAUUGUUUGCAGGUACCAUACGAAUAAGGACCGGCUAAUUCCGUGCCAGCAGCCGCGGUAAUACGGAAGGUCCGGGCGUUAUCCGGAUUUAUUGGGUUUAAAGGGAGCGUAGGCUGGAGAUUAAGUGUGUUGUGAAAUGUAGACGCUCAACGUCUGACUUGCAGCGCAUACUGGUUUCCUUGAGUACGCACAACGUUGGCGGAAUUCGUCGUGUAGCGGUGAAAUGCUUAGAUAUGACGAAGAACUCCGAUUGCGAAGGCAGCUGACGGGAGCGCAACUGACGCUGAAGCUCGAAGGUGCGGGUAUCGAACAGG